AGCUGCAAAAAUACUGAGGGCAAAUCCCCCGGCAGGCAAUCCCCCAGUGUCAGACUGACCCAGCACACAGGUUUUCAUGGCAGAGUGAGAGAAGGCUCAGAGGCUCAGAAGGGCUGCGGGACAGGCUGUCCCUCAGGUGGGCUCCGGCUGGCGGCAGGGCCCAGAAGAGCAAGUGACAAAGUCUGUGGCACUGGACCCGCACCUGCCAUUGACAGAAAAAGAAGGUGUUAACGAGGAGGGGAGGCACUCUCCAAACUGCGGUUCCUGGCUCGGACGGGACCUGGCAGUCCCCGGGAACCAGCUGCGCAGGGUAGCAAUGAUGAAAAAUACCUGAUGUAAGAAGUGGUACGACUCGUGACAGCAAGCUGCUUGUGUGCAUCAAGUGGUGCUGGGUGCUAAUCUCAGUGGACCGACCAAAUGUACGUGCCUGCCUUGAAUGCUUUUUGUUUGAUGAUCCUUGGUGGACUUGCUAAGUGCAUUAGUCUUUUGAGGCUUAGAGUUUUCUAGCCCCCGGGAGCAGCACAUUCUGUGAACACCUCUGUCUAACGUGGAGU
rnacentral:lncRNA from 1 species